rnacentral:rRNA from 1 species
AUUGAACGCUGGCGGCAUGCCUUACACAUGCAAGUCGAACGGCAGCACGGGAGCAAUCCUGGUGGCGAGUGGCGAACGGGUGAGUAAUGUAUCGGAACGUGCCCAGUCGUGGGGGAUAACGCAGCGAAAGCUGUGCUAAUACCGCAUACGAUCUAUGGAUGAAAGCGGGGGAUCGCAAGACCUCGCGCGAUUGGAGCGGCCGAUAUCAGAUUAGGUAGUUGGUGGGGUAAAGGCCCACCAAGCCUGCGAUCUGUAGCUGGUCUGAGAGGACGAUCAGCCACCCGGGGACGGAGACACGGCCCAGACUUCUACGGGAGGCAGCAGGGGGGAAUUUUGGACAAUGGGGGCAAGCCUGAUCCGGCAAUGCCGCGUGCAGGAUGAAGGCCUUCGGGUUGUAAACUGCUUUUGUACGAGACGAAAAGACUCGCUCUAAUACAGUGGGUACAUGACGGUAUCGUAAGAAUAAGCACCGGCUAACUACGUGCCAGCCGCCGCGGUAA